rnacentral:rRNA from 1 species
GCAUAUCAAUAAGCGGAGGAAAAGAAACCAACAGGGAUUGCCCUAGUAACGGCGAGUGAAGCGGCAACAGCUCAAAUUUGAAAUCUGGCUUUCGGGCCCGAGUUGUAAUUUGUAGAGGAUGAUUUUGAUGCGGUGCCUUCCGAGUUCCCUGGAACGGGACGCCAUAGAGGGUGAGAGCCCCGUCUGGUUGGAUGCCAAAUCUCUGUAAAUCUCCUUCGACGAGUCGAGUAGUUUGGGAAUGCUGCUCUAAAUGGGAGGUAUAUGUCUUCUAAAGCUAAAUACCGGCCAGAGACCGAUAGCGCACAAGUAGAGUGAUCGAAAGAUGAAAAGCACUUUGAAAAGAGAGUUAAAAAGUACGUGAAAUUGUUGAAAGGGAAGCGUUUAUGACCAGACUUGGGCUUGGUUAAUCAUCUGGGGUUCUCUCCAGUGCACUUUUCCAGUCCAGGCCAGCAUCAGUUUUCGCCGGGGGAUAAAGGCUUCGGGAAUGUGGCUCCCCUCGGGGAGUGUUAUAGCCCGUUGUGUAAUACCCUGGUGGGGACUGAGGUUCGCGCUUCUGCAAGGAUGCUGGCGUAAUGGUCAUCAACGACCCGUCUUGAAACACGGACCAAGGAGUCGUCUUCGUAUGCGAGUGUUCGGGUGUCAAACCCCUACGCGUAAUGAAAGUGAACGCAGGUGAGAGCUUCGGCGCAUCAUCGACCGAUCCUGAUGUUCUCGGAUGGAUUUGAGUAAGAGCAUACGGGGCCGGACCCGAAAGAAGGUGAACUAUGCCUGUGUAGGGUGAAGCCAGAGGAAACUCUGGUGGAGGCUCGCAGCGGUUCUGACGUGCAAAUCGAUCGUCAAACAUGGGCAUGGGGGCGAAAGACUAAUCGAACCUUCUAGUAGCUGGUUUCCGCCGA